ensembl:lncRNA
AGAGCACGUCUGGGCUUGGCAAACUGCUCUUCACCUGGGCUCCAGAGAUGCUCUCCCAGUGCUGUCACUGGUGCAAGGCCUCAGUCUCAAUCCUCAGCUCUACCCCUCCCGCAGUGCCCUGACAACACCCAAGCCCUCCAAGCCGGCUCCAGCAGUUAACUUUCCAGAUAGUAACUUUGGCUGUGCAGCAGUUACUAUCAGUGUGGCAUCCAGAUCCUCUGGCAGUCCUUUCACUGGUUAUGUGUGCCCAGCCCUGGGGUUUCUGUUCUUUUUCAAGUCUGUGACUUUCAUGGGAGGACUGUUCUGGAGUUCUUGGAGCUCUUCUAAGGACUCAGAAAACCUCAAUGUGGCCAACAUCUGCCCAUCACCAUGCUGAAGUUGCUCCAGUGACCUUAGAGGCCAAACUAAGUGAAUUCUGGGUCUUGAGACAUACCAAAGCAGACCACUCCUCCUGCUUGGACUGCAGGGAUCACAGGAAAAGGAAUGUGACUGGCAUUAAGGAAUUGAGAGAGAAGUCCCUGGUCAUCAGCCAGUGAAGAAAGAGCCCUCAGUUCUCUAAACUUCAAGGAAUUGAAUUCUGCCCACAUCAGAAGGAGUUUGGAAGAACCACAGUAGAAACUCCGGAGAAGAAUGUAGCCCUACUCCCACCUCGAUUUCAACCUUGUGAGACCCUGAGCAGAAAAACAAGCCAAACUUGCCCAGAUAACCUGAACUAUAGAGAAG